rnacentral:rRNA from 1 species
CCUACGGGAGGCAGCAGUGGGGAAUAUUGCAAAAUGGGGAAAACCCUAUUGCAGCGACGCCGCGUGAGUGAAGAGUUAUUUCGGAAUGAAAGGCUCUAUGAGAAGGGAGGAAAAUGACGGUACCUGAUUAAGAAGCCCCGGCUAACUACGUGCCAGCGGCCGCGGUAAUACGUAGGGGGAAAGCAUUAUCCGGAUUUACUGGUUGUAAGGGGAGCGUAGACGGCAGCACAAGUCUGGAUUGAAAUGCCGGGGCUUAACCCCGGAACUGCUUUGGAAAGUGUGCAGCUAGAGUGCAGGAGAAGUAAGUGGAAUUCCUAGUGUAGCGGUGAAAUGCUUAGAUAUUAGGAGGAACACCAGUGGCGAAGGCGGCUUACUGGACUGUAACUGACGUUGAGGCUCGAAAGCGUGGGGAGCAAACAGGAGUAGAUACCCGUGUAGUC